rnacentral:lncRNA from 1 species
GUCCCACAUGGCCCGCGGGUCUGCUGUUGCCCAAGCUGGUGCUGAUGGCUCGUGGCCGGGCAGGCUCACAUUCCUGCCUGGAGUAUAAUGAGUGCGUGUGUGAGUGUGCGCGUGCACGUGUGCAAUAAGUAAUACAGGGUAAUCCCCUUCCGAUGACAGAAGCUUCAAGUGGUUACAAGCAGCAGAGCUGCUUUCAGCUGCCUGAGGUAACUGUCUGUAAAGUGCAAGGCCAAAUACAGAAGAAAAGAAAUGAAGAAUUAAGAGAAACAUUCUCCAAGGUUGAAGAACUGUAUAAUUACGUCAUUAUUCAAUUUCCUGGUUAACAGGACUGGAGGAGUCUUUUUUAAGCUCCUGCAACAGCAGGCAGCAGACAGUGUGUGAUUGUGCUGGGACUUAAGAGCAAACUGCAGCUCGCCGCUGGUAGCUGUGUACCAGACGGCUCGGCUUGCGGAGAGCAGAGCCUCGCUGAGGCUGAGUGCUCAGAAGGAGCCCAUGGAAAGAGGGAGAAUGUCUGAAAAUGGAGGUGCAUGGGGACAAGUGGUGUAGAAGGGCUAAUUAUCUUCCUAUUCCCUUUGCGUUGCCUAUUAAAGACCACCAAAAAUAGCAUCUACUUAAGGACAUAUUUUUUAGUUUUUUUCCUCUCCCUGUUAAGUUAAAUGGAUAUCCCUCCUGUCAUUGGGUGAAGUGGAAUCAUUCGUGGAAGAUGGAACUGGCCAGAAGCCACCUCCUGACAGCAAGAGGCAGGUCUGAACAACAAAGUUUGGAUCCAGAUCUGAACUUCUCUCACAUCCAAAUGUGCUUGGAUCCAAGACGUUGGCUGACACACAUCUCCUCUACAUCUACACCGUGAUUAUGUGUGAAUGGCCCCAUUGCUUCACACCACUCUCAGUGUAAUCACUUCCAUUUGGGCAUCAUGCUGCAAGAAAAUCUGCUGUCAUGAUGGCCAAUGUGCAGUGCUCUGCUGGGUGAAGAUUCCCUCCUAGCCCUCCCAAGACAUCAUUUCCACCUGGAAACAGACUCGAUGAGCUUUACUGAUGACAACUUCUAUAUUUACGGCUCUUAUUAUUGUCAACUUUAACUCCAUGUUUAAAUGGGGAAUCCUUCCCCAAAUGGGUGUCAGAGCAUGAUGCACUUGACAGCCUGCGUGCGCAUGCAGUGAGCCUGAUCCUGAUGCUUCCUUCACAUCUGUUUCGUGCCUGUGCAACCCCAUUAACUUCAGUGGAAUUGUUUCUGAUAGGAACUUGAUGAAUACCAUAUUUUCCUAUGUAUCACCCACAGAUUAUCUAUAAAAAUUGAGAUUCAUCAGCAGUGCGGGUUAUACACAGA